UCCGUUGUAGUCUAGUUGGUCAGGAUAUUCGGCUCUCAUCCGAAAGACCCGGGUUCAAAUCCCGGCAACGGAA
rnacentral:tRNA from 2 species